AGUGAACGCUGGCGGUAGGCCUAACACAUGCAAGUCGAACGGCAGCACAGUAAGAGCUUGCUCUUACGGGUGGCGAGUGGCGGACGGGUGAGGAAUACAUCGGAAUCUACUUUUUCGUGGGGGAUAACGUAGGGAAACUUACGCUAAUACCGCAUACGACCUAAGGGUGAAAGCAGGGGAUCUUCGGACCUUGCGCGAUUGAAUGAGCCGAUGUCGGAUUAGCUAGUUGGCGGGGUAAAGGCCCACCAAGGCGACGAUCCGUAGCUGGGCUGAGAGGAUGAUCAGCCACACUGGAACUGAGACACGGUCCAGACUCCUACGGGAGGCAGCAGUGGGGAAUAUUGGACAAUGGGCGCAAGCCUGAUCCAGCCAUACCGCGUGGGUGAAGAAGGCCUUCGGGUUGUAAAGCCCUUUUGUUGGGAAAGAAAAGCAGCAGGUUAAUACCCCGCUGUUCUGACGGUACCCAAAGGAUAAGCACCGGCUAACUUCGUG
rnacentral:rRNA from 1 species